UACAGAGGUCUCAAGCGUUUGUUCGGAUUCAUUGGGCGUAAAGGGUGUGUAGGUGGCGCCGUAAGUCGGGUGUGAAAUUUCGGAGCUUAACUCCGAAACUGCACUUGAUACUGCCUUGCUCGAGUACUGGAGAGGAGAUUGGAAUUUACGGUGUAGCAGUGAAAUGCGUAGAUAUCGUAAGGAAGACCAGUGGCGAAGGCGAAUCUCUGGACAGUUACUGACACUGAGGCACGAAGGCCAGGGGAGCAAACGGG
rnacentral:rRNA from 1 species